rnacentral:sRNA from 1 species
GAUGCCAGGGUCCCAAGGUCUGAGCCCACAUGAGCUUGCUCUAUAGUGGGCUCAGACCUUGGGAUCCGCCCCGAUAUGAGCAUAAAAGUGGGAUGUAUAUCCCACGAUAUGCGAAUAGCGGGUAGGAUUGUGGG